rnacentral:rRNA from 1 species
GAUGAACGCUGGCGGCGUGCCUAAUACAUGCAAGUCGAGCGAACAGACGAGGGCUGUCUUCUCCGGCGUUUACGGCCGGAGGGGGGGGUACCCGGGGGUAACCCACCCAUAAGGUUGGGGUUACUUUGGGAAACCGGAGCUUAUUACGGAUAAUUUAUUGAACCGGCUGGUUCAAUAGUUAAAGACGGUUUUGCUGUUACCUAUAGGUGGAUCCGCGCCGCAUUAGCUAGUUGGUAAGGUAACGGCUUACCAAGGCAACGAUGCGUAGCCGGCCUGAGAGGGUGAUCGGCCACACUGGAACUGAGACACGGUCCAGACUCCUACGGGAGGCAGCAGUAGGGAAUCUUCCGCAAUGGGCGAAAGCCUGACGGAGCAACGCCGCGUGAGUGAUGAAGGUCUUCGGAUCGUAAAACUCUGUUAUUAGGGAAGAACAAAUGUGUAAGUAACUAUGCACGUCUUGACGGUACCUAAUCAGAAAGCCACGGCUAACUACGUG